rnacentral:rRNA from 1 species
GGUUAAGCGACUAAGCGUACACGGUGGAUGCCCUGGCAGUCAGAGGCGAUGAAGGACGUGCUAAUCUGCGAUAAGCGUCGGUAAGGUGAUAUGAACCGUUAUAACCGGCGAUUUCCGAAUGGGGAAACCCAGUGUGUUUCGACACACUAUCAUUAACUGAAUCCAUAGGUUAAUGAGGCGAACCGGGGGAACUGAAACAUCUAAGUACCCCGAGGAAAAGAAAUCAACCGAGAUUCCCCCAGUAGCGGCGAGCGAACGGGGAGGAGCCCAGAGCCUGAAUCAGUGUGUGUGUUAGUGGAAGCGUCUGGAAAGGCGCGCGAUACAGGGUGACAGCCCCGUACACAAAAAUGCACAUGCUGUGAGCUCGAUGAGUAGGGCGGGACACGUGGUAUCCUGUCUGAAUAUGGGGGGACCAUCCUCCAAGGCUAAAUACUCCUGACUGACCGAUAGUGAACCAGUACCGUGAGGGAAAGGCGAAAAGAACCCCGGCGAGGGGAGUGAAAAAGAACCUGAAACCGUGUACGUACAAGCAGUGGGAGCACGCUUAGGCGUGUGACUGCGUACCUUUUGUAUAAUGGGUCAGCGACUUAUAUUCUGUAGCAAGGUUAACCGAAUAGGGGAGCCGAAGGGAAACCGAGUCUUAACUGGGCGUUAAGUUGCAGGGUAUAGACCCGAAACCCGGUGAUCUAGCCAUGGGCAGGUUGAAGGUUGGGUAACACUAACUGGAGGACCGAACCGACUAAUGUUGAAAAAUUAGCGGAUGACUUGUGGCUGGGGGUGAAAGGCCAAUCAAACCGGGAGAUAGCUGGUUCUCCCCGAAAGCUAUUUAGGUAGCGCCUCGUGAAUUCAUCUCCGGGGGUAGAGCACUGUUUCGGCAAGGGGGUCAUCCCGACUUACCAACCCGAUGCAAACUGCGAAUACCGGAGAAUGUUAUCACGGGAGACACACGGCGGGUGCUAACGUCCGUCGUGAAGAGGGAAACAACCCAGACCGCCAGCUAAGGUCCCAAAGUCAUGGUUAAGUGGGAAACGAUGUGGGAAGGCCCAGACAGCCAGGAUGUUGGCUUAGAAGCAGCCAUCAUUUAAAGAAAGCGUAAUAGCUCACUGGUCGAGUCGGCCUGCGCGGAAGAUGUAACGGGGCUAAACCAUGCACCGAAGCUGCGGCAGCGACGCUUAUGCGUUGUUGGGUAGGGGAGCGUUCUGUAAGCCUGCGAAGGUGUGCUGUGAGGCAUGCUGGAGGUAUCAGAAGUGCGAAUGCUGACAUAAGUAACGAUAAAGCGGGUGAAAAGCCCGCUCGCCGGAAGACCAAGGGUUCCUGUCCAACGUUAAUCGGGGCAGGGUGAGUCGACCCCUAAGGCGAGGCCGAAAGGCGUAGUCGAUGGGAAACAGGUUAAUAUUCCUGUACUUGGUGUUACUGCGAAGGGGGGACGGAGAAGGCUAUGUUGGCCGGGCGACGGUUGUCCCGGUUUAAGCGUGUAGGCUGGUUUUCCAGGCAAAUCCGGAAAAUCAAGGCUGAGGCGUGAUGACGAGGCACUACGGUGCUGAAGCAACAAAUGCCCUGCUUCCAGGAAAAGCCUCUAAGCAUCAGGUAACAUCAAAUCGUACCCCAAACCGACACAGGUGGUCAGGUAGAGAAUACCAAGGCGCUUGAGAGAACUCGGGUGAAGGAACUAGGCAAAAUGGUGCCGUAACUUCGGGAGAAGGCACGCUGAUAUGUAGGUGAAGUCCCUCGCGGAUGGAGCUGAAAUCAGUCGAAGAUACCAGCUGGCUGCAACUGUUUAUUAAAAACACAGCACUGUGCAAACACGAAAGUGGACGUAUACGGUGUGACGCCUGCCCGGUGCCGGAAGGUUAAUUGAUGGGGUUAGCGCAAGCGAAGCUCUUGAUCGAAGCCCCGGUAAACGGCGGCCGUAACUAUAACGGUCCUAAGGUAGCGAAAUUCCUUGUCGGGUAAGUUCCGACCUGCACGAAUGGCGUAAUGAUGGCCAGGCUGUCUCCACCCGAGACUCAGUGAAAUUGAACUCGCUGUGAAGAUGCAGUGUACCCGCGGCAAGACGGAAAGACCCCGUGAACCUUUACUAUAGCUUGACACUGAACAUUGAGCCUUGAUGUGUAGGAUAGGUGGGAGGCUUUGAAGUGUGGACGCCAGUCUGCAUGGAGCCGACCUUGAAAUACCACCCUUUAAUGUUUGAUGUUCUAACGUGGACCCGUAAUCCGGGUUGCGGACAGUGUCUGGUGGGUAGUUUGACUGGGGCGGUCUCCUCCUAAAGAGUAACGGAGGAGCACGAAGGUUGGCUAAUCCUGGUCGGACAUCAGGAGGUUAGUGCAAUGGCAUAAGCCAGCUUGACUGCGAGCGUGACGGCGCGAGCAGGUGCGAAAGCAGGUCAUAGUGAUCCGGUGGUUCUGAAUGGAAGGGCCAUCGCUCAACGGAUAAAAGGUACUCCGGGGAUAACAGGCUGAUACCGCCCAAGAGUUCAUAUCGACGGCGGUGUUUGGCACCUCGAUGUCGGCUCAUCACAUCCUGGGGCUGAAGUAGGUCCCAAGGGUAUGGCUGUUCGCCAUUUAAAGUGGUACGCGAGCUGGGUUUAGAACGUCGUGAGACAGUUCGGUCCCUAUCUGCCGUGGGCGCUGGAGAAUUGAGGGGGGCUGCUCCUAGUACGAGAGGACCGGAGUGGACGCAUCACUGGUGUUCGGGUUGUCAUGCCAAUGGCACUGCCCGGUAGCUAAAUGCGGAAGAGAUAAGUGCUGAAAGCAUCUAAGCACGAAACUUGCCCCGAGAUGAGUUCUCCCUGACUCCUUGAGAGUCCUGAAGGAACGUUGAAGACGACGACGUUGAUAGGCCGGGUGUGUAAGCGCAGCGAUGCGUUGAGCUAACCGGUACUAAUGAACCGUGAGGCUUAACCUU